AAUUGGAUACAUGACAUAAGUGGUUGAAAUGUUUUGCUCCUUUUUUCUUGGUCUAUCCUGCUCAGUGAGGAUUUUCCUUGGUUCUGACUUGAUGAAGGUUUUGAUAGUUACCCUGAAUUUAAAUCUAAUUCAAAAUGUUGUUAACUAUCAUAGUUUAAGCUGCGUUUAUUCUUUAUACAUUUUGGGAAUGGCAACCUUAUAAUUUACAUGGUCACAACUGAUUAAACAAAGGUGGCAGCCAAAACAGUCAAUCUUGGCGAUCAAGAUGGGCUGCAGGGAAUAUAUCGAAUUGACGUCGGUGUUCCAGAAGAUGGCCGACUUCUAUGAUGUCCUUGUUAUUAGUACUAGCCCUUGGUAUUCUAUUUUUUGCUAAUUCACAGAAGAUGUUGACUGAACUAUUUCUUAUCUAUAUUUCUUCCAUAAUAAUGGAAUGGAGGGUGAGGUCAUGGGUUUUAGGCCCACUGGGUGUGCGUGUAACUUACCAAUAAAAAAAUGUAUCUAUUUUCAAGAAUUCUGAGUCAAACUACUUAAGGAGCCCUUCUAAACAUCAAAAUGCAUUGCCAUAUCCUUGUUUAGCAGGUGUAGUCUAACUUGGUGAUUUGCUUAAAGCUUGGCUUUUCCAGUUGGUGGACCCAAAAAGGCAUGACCUGCAUUGAUUUAUCAUCAAGUAUUAGUAUUUUUUUUCUCUCUAUAAUAGUUCAUUUCUUCUAACAUGUUUACUUGAGGUGUCUACACUAGAAAUGAAAGAAGAUGAUAUAAAGUCUGUAAAAGGAAGAUGGUGGUUUGACAGAUGUACCUGGUUGAAAGAGUCAUAUGAAUCAAAUGAAAUGACCUGGCUGUGGUAUGGAGAUAAGUAGAAAAGUAAGAAAGAAAACGAAUCAAAUAAAUCUUGAAGACAGUUGAUAUUAUAGAAUUAAUACUAGAAAAGGAGGAAGAUAAUUUAGUUUAAAAAAAGAAAGUAAAAAGUGGCUAGAAAUUCAGAAAGUCCUCAAGUUAGUACAAUAAGCUUCAGCGUGUCCAUUUCUUUCUAAAUUAAAGAUACUUAAGCCUUUCAGUUGGCACCUCAUGAGAUGAUCUGCACCUGUGGCAGUGUGGCCUCCUAUACUUUCUUAGCUUUCUGAAUAGAAUAUGCUUUCUGAUUUGGUUUUGAAUAGGUGGGGUUAUCAUUAAUUCCUGGAAGAGACACCUCUUGUAUUUUAAUGAUGCGGGGCAACUGAUAUCUCCUCCCCUUGAGAUGUUGGAUGGACUUAAAAGUUUUUCUUGAGUAUAUGAUCUCCUACAUACAAAAAGAUGUUCCGCAAGACACUCAAGUUCUGGAGUUUGCAAUUGCCUAUGCAUUUUUAUGGUGGCAAGUAGAAGCUGCUUCUAUGAGCCACUCAAGGAAGUCCAGGUAUGAAUUGAUGAUGGCACACCACACUUCCGUGCCUUCUUACCAAGAUUUUAUGUAUUGUUUCUCAAUACCAAUAUUGAUCAUGGUCCAUUUUAAAAUCAUAUUCAAUACCUGUAAUUUCUUUCAAGUUUUCAUUAACUUAUGCUGGGAUGGACAAAGAUUUCAGUUUCUUGCAUGGCAUGAAAUUAAAUUAAGAUGUACAUUUUUUAAAGUUAAAACUUUUUUCCAAAGGAAAAGGUGAAAUGGAAAAAAGAAGCAAGACAUCUGAAUCACUUAAUAUUAUUUGUGAGAUACAGAGAUUCAAUGGCAUGACCUUACUCAUUUGGGGUAAGUUCAGAGCAGAUGCCCACCUGGUAAUUUUUUCUUUUGAUUUGUCAUUUUGCAUUCAUUUUUCUUUUAAGGAUGCUUUAUUUCUCGGGGUGAUAUUAAAGGCUCGAUAUGUUAGACAUUCAAAAUAGUUUAUUUAUUCAUUCAAUCACUUUUUGCAAUCCGUUUUGCUUGUCUGAAAUCCAAAUUCUUUCUUGCAUUAUCAAAAGUAGACUUUGUUCUUAUGUUCAGAGGCUCUUCUGUUGGAAGAGAGGUUAGCUAAGCAAAUGAAGAAAUUGAAUAGUCGUUGUAAGAAUAUUUAAGAUUCUCCAUAAUCAGUGUUAACCAUAACAAAGUCAAAACUAGACCUUGUUCUUGGAACAGUUGAAACAAGGGGCUAUUUGUUCUUGAGAGGAAAAUAUUGUUUGGUUAUUGCUCAUCUACAUUACUUGGCCCUUGAACUUAGGACAUAAAUUUUCUGGUUGUAUUCUCCUAGGACUUUGUCUAUCAGCAUACAUGGUGUAUAAUAAAAAAUGCCCUUGUAUUGAAGUAGAGCUUUUUAAAAAUAAAAAGUAAAAAAUUUUGUUUAUUCUUGGAGUGUGAGUGAUUUAUAAUUCAUCUUGAUCCUCUAAAUCCUAGUCUUUCUUCUAGUAAAUAAAUACACUUCUGCUAAUGCAAUAGGUUUUUCUUUUCCUCCCUCUUUGUUCUAUAUAAUUUUGGCCAUAAUAUGUGAUGGGCACAUUGAAUUAUUCUAUGACACAAAUUGGAGAUACUGGCCUCAUAAGAGACAUCAACCCAUGUGUUAUGGUCCUUAUGGACACCAAAACUGCCGGGUGUGAAUCUGCUCUGAACUCAUUCAAGUGAGUCAGGUCAAGCUGUUGAAUAUCCGUGCCUCGCGAAACUUCUUCAAUCAUGUCUUGCUUCUUUGUUCAUGCCGUUGUUGCUGGAUUUAACCACAAGUCAAGCUGCACAGGUAUCAGUGCAGUAUCCAAUCUGCUUCAAAAACGAAGGGGGGGAGUGGGAAAAAGAAAAACCAUUGGUUUUUUUUUUUUCUUCCCUUUUGAAAUUUUUUUAAUAAGAUCUGAUUGAAUUUCAAGCCAUGGCAAGAAAUCAAAAUCUUUGUCUAAAAUCCCAGUAUAAGUUAAUGAAAACUUGAAAGAAAUACAAGGUAUUGAAUAUGAUUUUAAUAUAAACCAUGAUCAAUAUUGAUAUUGUUAGAUAAAAUCUUGGUAUGAGGUACCCACUAUAAUUUAUUGCAUUAGUUGUUAGAUUUAUGAGAAGAAGAGAAAAAGAGAAAAAGACAACUUAAAUUAGAGCGUAUUGCUUAUUUGUUAGAAGUGGAUAAAAAUACCACUGUACUUCAAACAAAAAAUGAUCUUUUAAAAAAAUUUACUUGCUCCCCAAGACUUUCAAAGAUUGGUGGAUCAUACAGCUAUUGAGGUUUCCUGGUUAUGUUGAAAUCAUAUUUAUAUAUAAGGAAAUAAACAGUUACAAAAUUAAUUGAUCCCACUAUUGCUCAAGAUCCCUGUCAUCCAUUUUAAUAUCUCAGUGCAUAGUGUUUUUUUUUCUAAUGGAAUUUGAACUCACUUUUGAGUUCAAUACACCUGUUGAUUAGCAUGUAGUCGGAGUCUGUGAGACAUUUAAGUUUUAAUUGCUAAACUAUGUCUUGCAAUUUUCACUCAGUUGACUUGAGUUACCCUAUGUUUAUGUUAAUUGUGUUUUAUGGUGUGACCAGAAGCAUGAGGAAGAAAUGGAUUCCAAAGCAAUCUACAAAAUUUUCGUUCUUCAGGGUAGUCCUUUCUUUAAAUUUAACUCUUCCUCAAAGUUUCGUCAUUCUAAAUUAGAGAUGAUGGCUUUUAACCAUACAGGUCAUGGCAACAAGAAGUCCCAAUAUAAGCCCCAUUUCGUCAAUUUCUCAAAAAUUGGUAACCUUAACCCCUAAUUUCAAUUUGUUCAUUGACAUUAUUGCCCUAUCAAGUUCUGAAGAAAGGAUUCUCAAAAAAAAAAAGUUCUGAAGAAAGGGAUUCAGUAGAAAAAGAUGUUCCCAAUUCCCAAUCUCUAAGUGGAGCAGCCAAAGGGACUAGUGGAGGAAGUGAUUAUGAGGAGAAAAUAAUAUCAAGUUCAGGGGAGAAGGGAAAUUCAUAAAGUCAAGAAAAACGAUGACAAGGAAAAUGCCGUGACCUGUGAUGAUACAGAAAAUGAGAGUAAAGUCUUAGAUAAUGAUGAAAAGAGAAACACUUUUGGCAUCAGAUGUUAACAGUGUGCAGAAUCAGAUAAUGGGCACCGUGAAAGAGUAACUCUGGGGAAGCAUGAUACUUCAAAGUAUCACAAAAGGUUAACUGAGUAACAGGUAACACUUUAAAAGACUGUUCCAUCUUGCUGCCCUGCCACCAGUGCUCUUAGUGUGAAGUAUAGGAAACUAAAGCCCACAAAUCCCAAGCCUUUUAGGCUAAGAACUGAUGAAAGAGGGAUUCUUAAGGAAGCAAACUCGGAGACAAAACUUGCCCCUCUGAAAGAAAUUACAACAGCUCCAAGGCCUCUGGUUAGAAAUUCAGAAAGAAUUCUUAAAAAUGUAUGCCUGAAAAAUUAAGAAGUCCAUGGAAAAAGUGAACCUGAGUAUGAUGUGCAUGUAGAUGGUGAAAGGAAAGUGGACAGAACAACAAACGAUGAUCGAUUUGUAAGUCUCUGAUACAUUUUUAAAAAAUUAUAAGAAAAAUAUGUCCUGCUUAUUGCUGUUUAAAGCACAUUGUUCCUUUGACUUUACUUAAUUUUCAUGAUUAAAACCUUGUUUAAUUUUACAUAACAAUUAUGUGUAGUUUCAAAUAAACAAUGUGUCAGUCCUAUCGCUUAUUAUUUUACUGUUGUUAUUCCCCAUCAGGGAAAGCUAUUCUCAAACUGAAUGGGAUAUUGUUAGCUA